rnacentral:misc_RNA from 1 species
UACAUAAAAAUAAAAAAAUGGGAAUCACCUGCACAGCUCUUCGAGAUGGUUUGGCGCUUCCAUUUUU